rnacentral:rRNA from 1 species
UACAGAGGGUGCAAGCGUUAAUCGGAAUUACUGGGCGUAAAGGGCGCGUAGGUGGUUAUUUAAGUCAGAUGUGAAAUCCCUGGGCUUAACCUAGGAAUUGCAUUUGAAACUAGAUGGCUAGAGUAUGGUAGAGGGAAGUGGAAUUUCCGGUGUAGCGGUGAAAUGCGUAGAUAUCAGGAGGAACACCUGCGGUGUAGACGGCUUUCUGGACCAUUGUUGACGCUGAGACACGAAAGCGUGGGUAGCAAACAGG